AUUUAAAAUGGUUGGCAGUGCCAAAAGGGCAGUUUGAGGUGAGGGAGAUCAGAUAAAGUAAAUGUCCUGUGGGAUAUAAAAAACACUUGCAGUCUUAUGAUAAGACGCUUACUGACCUACAUGCUUCAGUCUUCCUAACCACUUCAUUAAAAAGCCAAAACCUUUGUGAUCCAGCAAAGUUCCAUGUUGGUUGCAUAGCAGUCUAGUGCAAGCUGGAGCAUCUUGCAGAGCUGGCAUCUAACUGGUAUACUUCAAAUGUGAUGUAAGAUCAUUCAUAAGUUGUAUUGCCUCUCUUUGUAUGUGAGUAUUCAAACAACUUGAAACAAAAGUCAGAUGGCAGUUGUACACCUUAACGAUCCAUUAGUAUAGUACAUGUAUUGGGUGAUUGAAGAUAUUUUGUCUAUAGCACUAUUCUGAAAGCACAAGCUCUCUUGCUUUUUGGUAUUUUAAAAGAAUGUUCUCUAGUUCUUUCUUUGGUGAGACACUUCUGGUUCUUCACACCAAUAGUGUGAUUAACAUGUUUCGUCAUUUGAAUUCUUUUGCACUUAUUUUGAAAUCCAGAUAUUAAUAAUGUUCUAAUUCCCAUGACUUCUAAAUUUAGAAUCCUGAAAAAAACUAAGGCAAACUAACAUUAUGAAGCACAAAAUCAUGCUAUUCCAGUUGUGUACUUUAGAAGAAAUGCUUGUUUCUGUACUUGAUAUCUGAUGCUGAUAUACACAGUUGCAUUUGAUGCUUGCUACAGUAUGAAAUUGUCACUCAAAUAAGCUCAAUAUCUACUCAAAUAAGCAACUUGAGAGUUUCUGUUGCUCUGCAAGCAGUGCCCAUCAUUAGCUUCUGUAGGGUAUCUGCUUAUUAGACAGGGAGUAAAGAUCACAUGGGUGCCUUUGACAUAGGCCUCCUGCAUGCAGACAUCUAGAGAGUAACCUUAAAUAAAACCAAUUUCUGUAUUGCACUUGAUGUAAAAAUAGAUUUGCCUUUUGAUGUUGGUGUCUGGCUAGUGCAACACACUUAUUGGACAUAACUAAAAUGUUUGGAGUUGUGGGCUUUUGACAACUCCCUGAGACAUAACGGUGGAUUGUCAAUGAAUCAGACGCAUUUGAAUUAUGAGAUUAACUGUAUUUGUCCAUUGUUUAAUGGUACUAUGGAUGAUUAAUUUGCUAGUUUAUCUGUACAUUAAUCAGCUUGUUUUAUGUUUAACAGGCUUACUACAGCAGUUGAUCUCCCUCCUGAAUUUAUUCACCUUUAUAUCUCCAAUUGCAUCUCUACCUGUGAACAGAUUAAGGAUAAAUACAUGCAGAAUCGCCUGGUACGUCUCGUUUGUGUCUUUCUCCAAUCUUUGAUCCGGAACAAAAUUAUUAAUGUACAGGACUUGUUUAUAGAAGUGCAGGCAUUUUGUAUUGAGUUCAGUCGGAUACGAGAAGCAGCUGGCCUUUUCAGAUUGCUGAAGACACUGGAUACUGGGGAAAAUCCUUCAGAGGCAAAAGCUUCAAAAUAAGACCUUCAAAAUUUGGCGAAACAGCGGUCAGCUGAAUGUUCUGUAUCAUUACUUUUUUGUGUAUAAAUUUUAAACUUAAAUCAGUGGAUUGCUUGGUUUAAUACUGUAUAAAUAGCAUUUUAUGCAUAAAGCAAGGCAAUAAAUAUUGCUUUUCUGAUACUAGAAAAA